rnacentral:tRNA from 1 species
GCUCACGUGGUGAAACGGGUAGACACAAGGCACUUAAAAUGCCUCGGCUUCGGCCAUACCGGUUCGAGUCCGGUCGUGAGCA